rnacentral:rRNA from 1 species
AAGCUCGUAGUUGAAUUUCGGGAUUAGUACGUCGGUCGUGCCUUAGGUACGUGCUGGUGUUACUGGUUCCUACCUUCUGACGAACCAUCAUGUCAUUAAUUUGGUGUGGUGGGGAAUCAGGACUGUUACUUUGAAAAAAUUAGAGUGUUUAAAGCAGGCUCGCGCUUGAAUACAUUAGCAUGGAAUAAUGAAAUAGGACGUUGAUCCUAUUUUGUUGGUUUCUAGGAUUGACGUAAUGAUUAAUAGGAAUAGUUGGG